UCCAAGGACAACAAACAGUCAGACAAAAGCAAGUUCAAAUGGGCUAAUGAGUAACUACAAGUCAAACAUUUGUGAAAUGCACAGGCCUGGACAGGGUAGUGUGUCAUGUUUUUGAGCUCGAAUGCAACCACCCGGACCUUGCUCUUUGCGUGUGCUGUGCCAUGUUGACAUACUUCCUUGCUUUUACAUGCUUUUAUUAAGCACUGAGUGGUCAUUAAUCACAGAAGCGCUGUUAGAAAAGCUUCAAGGAAACAGAGCACAAGGCCAAAUGAUGGUUUCUAACAAGCAGACACCCAGAGACAUUACAAAACAGAAAGGACUAGAAAGCCUUCAUGUUGGGCCUGUAUAACAUCCAUAUCCAUCAAAGAUCAAGUGGGAGCUCA